CAUGCACUGGUGGGGUUCCUCAGCCUGGCCUGCGCCCUCUUGCAAUCCGGUACCCCUAGGGGGAAUGUUGGAGAGCCGGUUUUGGCAUGAUCUCUGCAGGCCAGGCUGAGGGACUCCACCGGUGCAUG
rnacentral:pre_miRNA from 1 species